UUAUCAUCUUUCGAUAGAAUCAUAUCGUGAUGAAAUCAAAUAUAAGAUAUCAUGAUAUACAAUAACAUUGUCUAAAAUAAUAACAACAAGCACAUACUAACUCCAUUUUCUCAGAAAAUCUGUUGUGAAACAUUUUGAGGGAAUAUCAUUUGAAGAAUUGCGGACACACUAUUUUGUGCUUUCAUGUAAACAUAAUAUUUAUUUUGUCUCUAUAAUUUCACUUGAAACUGUUUCCCACAUUAUUGAUGAUUAUUAUCUAAAAUCUCAUUGU